rnacentral:rRNA from 1 species
AGAGUUUGAUCCUGGCUCAGAUUGAACGCUGGCGGCAGGCCUAACACAUGCAAGUCGAGCGGUAGAGAGAAGCUUGCUUCUCUUGAGAGCGGCGGACGGGUGAGUAAUGCCUAGGAAUCUGCCUGGUAGUGGGGGAUAACGCUCGGAAACGGACGCUAAUACCGCAUACGUCCUACGGGAGAAAGCAGGGGACCUUCGGGCCUUGCGCUAUCAGAUGAGCCUAGGUCGGAUUAGCUAGUUGGUGAGGUAAUGGCUCACCAAGGCGACGAUCCGUAACUGGUCUGAGAGGAUGAUCAGUCACACUGGAACUGAGACACGGUCCAGACUCCUACGGGAGGCAGCAGUGGGGAAUAUUGGACAAUGGGCGAAAGCCUGAUCCAGCCAUGCCGCGUGUGUGAAGAAGGUCUUCGGAUUGUAAAGCACUUUAAGUUGGGAGGAAGGGCAGUAAAUUAAUACUUUGCUGUUUUGACGUUACCCGACAGAAUAAGCACCGGCUAACUCUGUGCCAGCAGCCGCGGUAAUACAGAGGGUGCAAGC